UACGUAUGGUGCAAGCGUUAUCCGGAUUUACUGGGUGUAAAGGGAGCGCAGGCGGCACGGCAGGCCUGAUGUGAAAGCCCGCGGCCCAACCGCGGGACUGCAUUGGGAACUACCGGGCUGGAGUGCCGGAGAGGUAGGCGGAAUUCCUAGUGUAGCGGUGAAAUGCGUAGAUAUUAGGAGGAACACCAGUGGCGAAGGCGGCCUACUGGACGGUGACUGACGCUGAGGCUCGAAAGCGUGGGGAGCAAACAGG
rnacentral:rRNA from 1 species